AUUGAACGCUGGCGGCAGGCCUAACACAUGCAAGUCGAGCGGAUGAAGGGAGCUUGCUCCUGGAUUCAGCGGCGGACGGGUGAGUAAUGCCUAGGAAUCUGCCUGGUAGUGGGGGAUAACGUCCGGAAACGGGCGCUAAUACCGCAUACGUCCUGAGGGAGAAAGUGGGGGAUCUUCGGACCUUACGCUAUCAGAUGAGCCUAGGUCGGAUUAGCUAGUUGGUGGGGUAAAGGCCUACCAAGGCGACGAUCCGUAACUGGUCUGAGAGGAUGAUCAGUCACACUGGAACUGAGACACGGUCCAGACUCCUACGGGAGUCAGCAGUGGGGAAUAUUGGACAAUGGGCGAAAGCCUGAUCCAGCCAUGCCGCGUGUGUGAAGAAGGUCUUCGGAUUGUAAAGCACUUUAAGUUGGGAGGAAGGGCAGUAAGUUAAUACCUUGCUGUUUUGACGUUACCAACAGAAUAAGCACCGGCUAACUUCGUG
rnacentral:rRNA from 1 species